rnacentral:rRNA from 1 species
AGGAUCAACGCUGGCGGCGUGCCUAAUGCAUGCAAGUCGAACGGGGUACCUUCGGGUGCUUACGUGGCGGACGGGUGAGGAACACGUGGGUAAUCUGUCCUGAGGUGGGGGGUAGCCCUCGGAAACGAGGGGGUAAUUCCGCAUGUGCACAUCUGCUUUGGGGGUGGAUGUGGAAAGGGUUUUCGGACCCGCCUGGAGGGGGAGCCUGGCGGCCGAUUAGCUAGUUGGUGUGGUAACGGCAUACCAAGGCGAUGAUCGGUAGCUGGUCUGA